AACGAACGCUGGCGGCAUGCUUAACACAUGCAAGUCGAACGUGAAGCACCCUUCGGGGUGUGGAAAGUGGCGGACGGGUGAGUAACGCGUAGGAAUUUACCUAAAGGUACGGAACAACUCAUGGAAACGUGAGCUAAUACCGUAUGAUGCCUCCGGGCCAAAGAUUUAUCGCCUUUAGAUGAGCCUGCGUCGGAUUAGGUAGUUGGUGGGGUAAAAGCCUACCAAGCCGACGAUCCGUAGCUGGUCUGAGAGGAUGAUCAGCCACACUGGGACUGAGACACGGCCCAG
rnacentral:rRNA from 1 species